AUAAUUUUACCACAAAUCUUAAACCAUAAUCCCGGCUCUCCACUCUUGAAUGAUUGUGUUAGGCAAAUAAGGGUUCAUCCAUCCAACUUCCUCUAAGAACUCAAGUCUGAGGACAAGAGGUUUUGUCCGACAGGAAAACUUGGUGUAACCUUUAAAGCGACUUCACCAAACUCAUCUCACCAUGCAUACACUGCGAGUUUCAACAAACUCCACACUCAGUGCACAGGGGCACAUCUUCAAUUCCUCUGAGAAUUGCCUUUUUUCAAUUAUGAUGAAUGAGAAGAAUCCAUCAUACAGAAUUCGUACAGAAGCAGGUAUCGGAACUGGGGCUCGCCAGGUGAGCAGGGCUCAGACACAUACACACAGAGGAGGACCUGGAGCGUAGUGUGAAGAAUGACAUAGAGGAAAAGAAAUUCAGGCCACAGUGGAAAUCAGGGAACUCAGGCUGUCCAGCCUGCCAAGAACAGAGUGAGUGGAAAGGAAGCGAGAGGGAAACUGAGCAAGACCAGCUCUACCUGAACACCAGGAAAAGGGCAUGAGACUUUUUUUUUUUUUGCAUUUUUUUUUCUUAAUUACUGUGCUUUCCAUUAUUUUCUCCUAAGUCCUUACCUAAUGACUAAUGGAAAGCCCUGAAAUUUCAAGAUUCUACUUCCUACGUGUUUUCUAUUCUUAUUCUAUACCAAUUAACUUCAUCUUCUCACUUCCUUCUCCCAAUUGACAAACUCCACAGCCUCUGUAUCAGCUGCUUCUUCUCCUGCCCCCUCCCUCUCGUCAAAAUCACCUAAGCCUACUUAUGAUGAUAAAACAAACUUGCAAAUAUUUUCACCAAAAACACUUCUCUAAAUAUAACCUGCAGAAUUUUGAGAAAGGCCAAAUAUUUUGACCAGGUGACUGUAUUUAUCUUUCUUUCAUCUCUGUUGUCCCUUUGGCCAUGUGUGAACACAACACAUGACCAGGAGGGUUAGUGAGCUCAGUCCUCUCCUUCUCCCACCCAACUGACCCACGACCGUUGAAGUACUAGCUAGAAGCUGGUGACCAUAAAACCACAUUGUCAUUUGCCAUUGAGAGGAUGAAUGACCUAUUGCAGGAAGCACAAACGGGUCACGGUGAAUGAGGAUACCUACAGUUGAUUCUACAUGACUUCCUAGACUUGACCUUAGGUCAUCUCAGACCAUCUCGUGAUUAUUCGUAAGAUAAUAGCCAUUCAGUUAGUUUAACUCUCAAUCCAAAUAUCCUGUGCCGAAGACCUCAUCAGCCACUGCAUCUCCGCACCUGAUGCACAUUCUACUUGAUGUUGUGUUGACCUCCCCUCUUGCCUACUUUUAAUUUCUGAAACUAUUUUUUCUCUUCUUUCUUCAUGGGCAUUUGUCAAAUUCCAGAGUUGGGAAAAUUUCAUUCUAGCUCACUAACGAUUUGAAUUUGAUCCCUUUUCUAGUGAUUUAGUACCUUCUCCCUUUUGUCAACGUUCACAUUACGGACUCUCAGGAAGAUGUACGAUAUGCAUGAAACCGCUUAUGAAAUGAAUGUUUCAUGCUACAAACAUGACGGAAAUCCUGAACCAAUUUUCAAAAAACUAAAGCUCAGAAACCUAUGUGAUCCCCAUGUAUCACGACCUGUCAGUCAACAUAAUGUCAAAUAUCUAUAACAAGAGUAACUUUCAUCUACUUAGAUGCCUAUUCAUUUACUUGGCUAGAGGUGAUCCCAAGAUACCCUGCCCAGUGAAAAUGUUAAGGUUUCCAUUAGUCUAAGUAUCUAGAAAUCAAAGGACUUAAUCCUCUCUGUAUUCUAGAUAACCACCUGUUACACAUACAUCAAAAGCAAAAAAAAAAAAAAAAAAAAAAAAAAGACUUACCAAAAAAAAAAGAAUCAUCCUUAACCAUUUCAUAAAUAUAUUAGUAUCUAAAAAGUGGACACAUGGAAGUUCCCAGGCUAGGGGUCGAAUCAGAGCCUACACCACAGCCACAGCAAUGCAGGAUCCAAGCCACAUCUGUGACCUGUGCCCGAGCUUGUGGCAACAACAGAUGCUUAACCCACUGAUCAAGGCCAGGGAUGAAACCUGCAUCCUCAUGGAUCCUAGUUGGGUUCUUAACUCACUAAGCCACAAUGGGAACUACAUUUUUUUUUUUUAAUUAAAAGUCAUUCUUUGAAACUGGUUAUUGUCUAUGGCUAGAAGCAAUGACUUUUUUUCAUAGCAAGCUGAACUGAACUGGAUUCACCUAAACUAGGAUAAGAUGUACUACUAUCAAUUUUUAGAUCCUGGAAAAAUUUCUUUAAUUAAUUAUGCCCUCACAAGUUACAGUUCAUAGUUGUUAUUUUUCAAGUGCUACUAGGUUUUAGGGUCUGCUUCACUAUUUAUCUUCUCAGACAGUCUGGCAAGACUUAAUUUAUCUGAGGGAUCAACUACCCAAUGGAGAAUUUCAUUUAAUUAUAUAAAAGGUAAAAAGAAUUUGAAAAAUGUUUCUACCAGUCAUAGUUAUUUUAACAUUUACUAAUUUGGGUGCAUCUAACAUAGUUUAAGAAAAAAGAUCAUCUGUUUCUUAGUAUAAAAAGCUGCCCGCCUUUUUAAAAAAACUCUUAUACAUUUACCAACACUUAAUAUUAUUAUACUAAAAUCUUUCCUCCAGAGUACUAAACCUCAGCACUGAAUCUAGAUAAAUUAUUACUUCCACUUUCCAAACACUGACCUUCUAAACUGAAAUGUAAGAGAGACUGGAAAUACUGAAUCCAACAGUAGAAGGAUCUUAUUUUUAUUAUGACAAUGAUUUCACCAUAUGUAGUCAUUUUGUGGAUAAUUUAAGGAGUAACUUCCAAUUAAAUUGAUUAGGUAUAUACAUUGAGGCCGAAUAUCAGUUAUAUAUAGGGAUAUAGACAAACACACACUCCACACAGCAGUUAAAGCAAAGACACGAAUUAACAGUAACAAUAACAAUAAAAAUAAUGGAACUCUUACAUAAUAACAAGUAUUUUCAAGUCCUUAAUAUUGAUGAUGAGAAGAUGCACACCAAAUACACAAAUUAGCCUAACAGAGUCAUGAAACAGAAGGAAGGGCACUUGCCUGAUAGGACAAGCAUGAUAUAACAGAGAGAAAUCCAGAAGGAUGAAGGCUGUGCAUGAAGGGGAAAUGCAGGCAGAACUGACCAGGAAAGACCCCACCCCUGAAGAGAUCAAUGCUGAACCCCUUACGGGGGUGAGGUGGUCGGUGUGGGGCAAGGACAGGCAGAUGCGAGGGGGUGCAUCAAGGAGGGGGUGAAUCCACUUUUUGGAAAGGACCUGCACCCUCCCCGUUGAUAAACCAUAGCUGAAGGCAGCCACUAGACCAGCACGCUCUAACUGCAUUAGUCACCUGGGAAUCCAAUUAAAAGAAGACUCUGAUUCAGUACAUCUGGGGCAGAAUGAGAUUCUCCAUCUCUAACAAGCUCCCUGGUGAUGCUGCUGGGCUGUGGACCACAUUUUGAGUAACGCUGCCUUCGAGGACGGCCUGGCCGGUGGAGGGCAGAGAGAAGGAGUUUCAUAAAGAUCAUCACCUGCUGGGUGGGGCACAGCAGCGCUGGGCUCAAAGUUCUCCCCUCACUUCCUGGACCUCUGGUUCUCCACCCAGAACACAAGAGAGAUGAGCACAUCUCUAAGGUCUCUUUCUAGCUUUAAAAACUUGGGGCAGGAAGGGAGGUUUACAGCCUGAAGAGCUACACCUCUUAAAUCUGGUAUCAAAGGGGAGGCCAUGGCUAGAACAAAUGAUGAGCUCCUGAGAAGCCAAUCUUCUGCAAGACAAGAGAAAAGGAAUGUAUGUACUUGUCCCCUUAUCCCUGCUGGAAUGUUUAGACAAAAAUACAAAAUGAUGUGCACACCAGGCUAUUUAUUGCAAAACAGUAGGCAAGUCUGGGAAUAACCCCAAUGUCCAUCAGCAGGGGACUGACUGAAUAAACCCUAGUAGAUCCAUACAAGGGCAUACUACACAGCUGUACACAGGAAUUUCUCUAAAACAUUGUACUGAAGUACUCUAUGCACCGAUAAUGAGUGAGCUCCAGAACUCAGCUCAACUUUUUAAGUGAAAAAAAUAAAUCAGGGUUCAGAACAGUAUACAUAAUAAAACAGUAUACAUAAUAUACAUAAUAUACAUAAUACAUAAAAUACAUAAUAUACAUAAUAUACAUAAUAACAGUAUACAUAUAAAAACAGUAUACAUAAUAAGUUGCUACUUCAUCAGCAAGAAGGAGUACAAAAUAUAUGCAUACAUUUGCUUGUAUUCCCAAAAAGGUCAGUGGAGGGACAAUCCCAAAUCUAACAAAAAACAGUUACUAAGGGGACAGGAAGGGAAGGCUGACUUAAUACACCUAAUAUGAUAGUUCUGACUUGGUCAGAGUUUGACCCAAUUAAAAACAGAAAAAACAAAGUGGAACCAAUAAAACUAAUAAUGUAUCAACUUGGUGGUGCAAAUCAUAGAGAGAAAUAUUAUUUUACUUCUCUUUGAGAUGUUUUCAAUCCUACAUCCCUAAUGGGAUAUAAUGCUAAGGUUAAAAGAAUUACAAAGAAAUACUAAACGGCAGUCAGCAGCAAUAAGAAUCGUAUAAUGUUAAUAACUGUUGAAAUUGGGUGAUGGGAUUUCAUUAUGCUGUUUGCUACCAUGCAAUUUUCUCUAUUAUUGUACAGUGUGAAUAAUUUUUGAGAAAUCAAUUUCCCAAGUAACCUUCUUUAUCUAACAUUAGCACAUAUGCAAAUAGAGCAAGAAUGAAAGAGAGAAUUGCAAGCAUGGGCUGGCACCAAAGCCAACUUCUGUCCACCAAGGUGAAUGUCAAUGUUCUUUGUUCUUUGUUUGUUUGUUUUUUAGGGCUGAACCCGAAGCAUAUGGAGGUUCCCAAGCUAGGGGUUGAAUCGGAGUUACAGCUGCCAGCCUACACCAGAGCCACAGUAGCGCCAGAUUCGAGCCGAGUCUGGGACCUACACCACAGCUCACAACAAUGCUGGAUCCUUAACCCACUGAGAGAGGCCAGGGAUGGAACCCAAGUCCUCGUGGAUCCUAGUCGGGAUCGUUAACUGCAGAGUCAUGAAGGGAACUUCCUCAAUGUUCUUAAUAUAAAAUCUACCUGUGGAGUUCCCAUCAUGGCUCAGUGGAAAUGAAUCUGUCUAGUAACUAUGAGGACGUGGGUUUAAUCUCUGAUCUUGCUCAGUGGGUUAAGGACUCAGUGUUGCCAUGAGCUGUGGCCUAUGUCACAGAGGCAGCUCAGAUCUGGUAUUGCUGUGGCUGUGGUGUAGGCGGGUGACUACAGCUCUGAUUUGACCCUUAGCCUAGGAACUUCCACAUGUUGUGGCUGUGGCCCUAAAAAGACAAAAAUAAAAUGAAAAUCAGGAGUUCCCAUCAUGGCUCAGUGGUUAAUCCGACUAGGAAGCGUGAGGUUGUGUGUUUGAUCCCUGGCCUUGCUCAGUGGGUUAAGGA
rnacentral:lncRNA from 1 species